rnacentral:rRNA from 1 species
UUCUGACCUCGAAUCAGGUGGGACUACCCGCUGAACUUAAGCAUAUCAAUAAGCGGAGGAAAAGAAACUAACAAGGAUUCCCCUAGUAACGGCGAGUGAAGUGGGAUGAGCUCAAAUUUAAAAUCUGGUAGUCUUUGGCUGCCUGAGUUGUAAUCUAGAGAAGUGUUUUCUGUGCUGGACUGUGUUCAAGUUUCCUGGAUAUGGAACAUCAUAGAGGGUGAGAAUCCCGUCCUUGACACAGAUUCCCUAGUGCUCUGUGAUGCACUCUCAACGAGUCGAGUUGUUUGGGAUUGCAGCUCAAAAUGGGAGGUAAAUUCCUUCUAAAGCUAAAUAUUGGCGAGAGACCGAUAGCGAACAAGUACCGUGAGGGAAGAUGAAAAGCACUUUGGAAAGAGAGUUAAACAGUACGUGAAAUUGUUAA